rnacentral:lncRNA from 1 species
GGCUGGGUGCGGUGGCUCACACCUGUAAUCCCAGCACUUUGGGAGGCCGAGGCGGGCAGAUUGUUUGAGCUCAGGAGUUUGAGACCAGCUUGUGGCAACAUGGUGAAACCCCGUCUCUACAGGAAAAAUACAAGAAUUAGCUGGGUGUGGUAGUGUGCACCUGUAAUCCCAGCUACUCAGGAGGCUGAGGCAGGAGGAUCGCUUGAGCCUGGGAGGUAGAGGUUGCAGUGAGCUAAGAUUGCACCACUGCACUCCAACCUGGGUGACAGAGUGAGACUCUGUCUCAAAAAAAUUUAAAAAAAAAGGUACCAAGGACUCCAAGGACUGAGUUCAAGAAGUAACAAGGACUAUGCUCAAAAAGAACUAAGAGCCUGGCCAACAUGGUGAAACCCCGUCUCUACUGAAAAUACAA